GACGAACGCUGGCGGCGUGCUUAACACAUGCAAGUCGAACGAAGUGGCGAACGGGUGAGUAACGCGUAAUCAACCUGCCCUUCAGAGGGGGACAACAGUUGGAAACGACUGAUAUUACGGCAUACUGAAUGAGGGGACUGCGUCUGAUUAGCUGGUUGGGGGGGUAAUGGCCCACCAAGGCGAAGAUCAGUAGCCGGGCUGAGAGGAUGAACGGCCACAUUGGGACUGAGACACGGCCCAGACUCCUACGGGGGGCAGCAGUGGGGAAUCUUCCGAAAUGGGCGAAAGUCUGACGGAGCAACGCCGCGUGAGUGAUGACGGCCUUCGGGUUGUAAAGCUCUGUUAAUCGGGACGCGGUACCGGAAUAGAAAGCCACGGCUAACUACGUGCCAGCAGCCGCGGUAAUUC
rnacentral:rRNA from 1 species